rnacentral:rRNA from 1 species
UGGGGAAUAUUUGGCAAUGGGCGAAAGCUUGACCAAGCAAUACCGCGUGAAGGAUGAAGGCUCUAGGGUUGUAAACUUCUUUUCUGAUUGAUGAAUUUUGACAGUAAAUCAGGAAUAAGCAUCGGCUAACUCUGUGCCAGCAGCCGCGGUAAUACAGAGGAUGCAAGCGUUAUCCGGAAUUAUUGGGCGUAAAGCGUCCGUAGAUGGUUUUUUAAGUUCAAUGUUAAAUUGCAGGGCUUAACUUUGAAAAUGCAUUGAAAACUGAAAAACUUUAGUACGAUAGAGGCAAAGGGAAUUUUCAGUGUAGCGGUGAAAUGCGUAGAUAUUGGAAAGAACACCUAUUGCGAAGGCACUUUGCUAGGUUGAUACUGAAAUUGAGGGACGAAAGCUAGGGUAGUAAAAA